GGUGUCAGAGGUCUCCUUGCGAGGAAAGUCCUGCCACCACACCACCUGGCGGCGGCAGCGGCGGCACAGAGCGCGG
rnacentral:ribozyme from 10 species